rnacentral:rRNA from 1 species
GGUUGACCUCGGAUCAGGUAGGGAUACCCGCUGAACUUAAGCAUAUCAAUAAGCGGAGGAAAAGAAACCAACAGGGAUUGCCUCAGUAACGGCGAGUGAAGCGGCAACAGCUCAAAUUUGAAAUCUGGCCCCUCUGGGGGUCCGAGUUGUAAUUUGUAGAGGAUGCUUCGGACAAGGCCGCGGUCUAAUUUGCUUGGAACAGCGAGUCACAGAGGGUGAGAGUCCCGUCUAGGAUCGUGCGCCGCGUCCGUGUGAAGCUCCUUCGACGAGUCGAGUUGUUUGGGAAUGCAGCUCUAAAUGGGUGGUAAAUUUCAUCUAAAGCUAAAUAUUGGCCAGAGACCGAUAGCGCACAAGUAGAGUGAUCGAAAGAUGAAAAGCACUUUGAAAAGAGAGUUAAACAGUAUGUGAAAUUGUUGAAAGGGAAGCGCUUGCAACCAGACUUGCGUGUGACGGUUCCCCCCACCUUCUGGUGGGGCUACUCCGUUAUCUCCAGGCCAGCAUCGGUUCAGGUGGUCGGUUAAAGACCUCGGGAAUGUAUCUACCUCCGGGUCGACUUAUAGCCCGGGGUGCAAUGCGGCCCACCUGGACCGAGGAACGCGCUUCGGCCCGGAUGCUGGCGUAAUGGUUGCAAGCGGCCCGUCUUGAAACACGGACCAAGGAGUCUAACAUCUAUGCGAGUGUUUGGGUGUCAAACCCCUACGCGUAAUGAAAGUGAACGGAGGUAAGAACCCCGCAAGGGGCGCAUUAUCGACCGAUCCUGAUGUCUUCGGAUGGAUUUGAGUAAGAGCAUAGCUGUUGGGACCCGAAAGAUGGUGAACUAUGCCUGAAUAGGGUGAAGCCAGAGGAAACUCUGGUGGAGGCUCGCAGCGGUUCUGACGUGCAAAUCGAUCGUCAAAUUUGGGCAUAGGGGCGAAAGACCAAUCGAACCAUCUGGUAGCUGGUUCCUGUCGA